rnacentral:lncRNA from 1 species
GAUUGUAGUUAACGACCUCGGCUUUAUUCUCUCAGCAUUAUUUUCAAGGACAAGAAUGUUUCCCUGAAGGAAUGAGUUUGACUCGGCUAAUUUAAUCUUUUUUUUUCACGUAUGCUAAUUUCCGAAGAGGGCGCCCCCCGGAAGGUCCGAAACACUAAACGAGACUUGUUCUUGAUUUGACUUCAGACACCGAAAAAAAAAACACUCACUAUAUUGUGACUUUCUCUAUACGCGGAACAAUGCGUGCGCCUAACUCAAGCAAC